CAACGGUGAAACUCAAAGGAAUUGACGGGGCCCGCACAAGCGGAGGAACAUGUGGUUUAAUUCGAUGAUACGCGAGGAACCUUACCCGGGCUCAAAACGCAACGCGGACAUUCCGGAAACGGGAUGGCCAGCAAUGGCGCGUUGCGAGGUGCUGCAUGGUUGUCGUCAGCUCGUGCCGUGAGGUGUCGGCUCAAGUGCCAUAACGAGCGCAACCCCCACCGCCAGUUGCCAACAGGUAAAGCUGGGAACUCUGGCGGGACUGCCGGCGCAAGCUGCGAGGAAGGCGGGGACGACGUCAAAUCAGCACGGCCCUUACGUCCGGGGCGACACACGUGUUACAAUGGCGCCCACAGCGGGAAGCCAGGCGGCGACGCCGAGCGGAACCCGAAAAGGCGCCUCAGUUCGGAUUGGAGUCUGCAACCCGACUCCAUGAAGCUGGAUUCGCUAGUAAUCGCGCAUCAGCCAUGGCGCGGUGAAUACGUUCCCGGGCCUUGUACACACCGCCCGUCAAGCCAUGGGAG
rnacentral:rRNA from 1 species